UGUUUUAAAUAAAUAAGUAGUUUUAUAAUUUUAUUUUUUUGAAAUAUUAAAUUUGUAUUAACUAAUUGCAUGUGCUUGGAACCAAAAGGGUCUAAAUCGAUUUUUUUUUGAAAUCCUAUUUUAUAUACUUCAUAUUGUAACGUUAGUUUACAUUACAUACACAUUUCACGUCAUACUAAAACGGUCUUUCUAAAGGCUACGAAGAGACCAUCAUACGAAUAAAAACCUGGUAGUAAAAUACUUAGGAGUCACACAGAAUGAUUACUCAACGUUUGCCUACAAAUAAUUUCAACAUUAGAGAGCCUACGCUACAUUAUACCCAGUACUACAGCACCAAAGUCCAAUUAUUUUUCAGCUAUUGAAAUUUAAAUAUUUAAAAUAUAUAUAGUACUAAGUCAUCAAUAUGUAGCUUCUGCCCCCUUAUAACCCCAAGCAAUUGAGAGAAAAUAACAGUACCAUAACCAUAGAUAAUAAUAGUAUAUACAUGUACAGGAGUAUAGAACAUCCCUAUACCUUAUACAUACGGUAUACUGUGACCUAAGAGAAUAUAAUAUGUUACCAAAAUGGUUACUCGUGUACCUAUCAUGUGUACCUCAUGUCCUAUCCAUAUCCCAUAUGUAUAUAUUAUCUAUGACCAUAACCAGUGGCGCAACUAGAAAACAAUUUCGGGUAGGGGGGGGGUUUAUAAUGUUACGAUAUAUGUAUAUACAUAAGCUAAAAUCCUGCAUGGUUAAUAAUAUUGCAUAAAGAAUGUUAAUAUAUAUUCUGUAUACAUUUCUCAAUUAUUAUUGUCAUAUAUCACAUGAAAUAAAAGAAUACACGUCAUAUUAUGAAUAAAAAACACUAAUAGAUAAAUAUUGAGUCAUCGUUUUGAAGUUUUAGCCAUUUCAUCAGUUAUCAACAAUGGGUCAACAUAAAUAUCCUGGUGUAUGUUGAGGACUGCCCAUCCAUUUAGUCUCAUUUGACCAGUAGUAUUUCUGAUAUAAUUUUUAAGUCGACACAAGGAAGAAAAAGACCUCUUUCCAGUAGCUGUUGUGACUGGUAGUGUAUUUAAUAUUUGCAAUAACUUUGAGAUUACAGGAAAAAAAUCAGGAUUACAGAGGAAAAACAGUUCUGUUGUUGUUAUUUGUUAACGACGAAUUUGGUGAUUUGAAUGCGCAACUGUUAUACCACAGUUUAAGUUCAGCAUAACCUACUUCUAAGCUAGUCAAAUUGUUGCUGUUACUUAAUAAUUCAGUAUAAAAAUUGAACAUAAUAUUUUGAAGUCCUCAAAAGUUUCUUCAGAUAUUUGUUUGCUAGUAUUAGGUAAUAAGCGGUUGAAGCUUUUUAGUUUGGCCGUAUGUUCAAGAAAUCGUCUAUGGAGUUGUUCAAUAAAAUUAACAAGAACUGAUAUGAGUAUUGAGACUAUAAUAUUCUGUUGGAUUAUUAUUCAUAAUAUUUCUCCUAUUUUUUUUGUCGACCUGUUGUUCUUGGAACACUAACAGUUAUACCAAAAACAGAACAGACAUCUUCAACUUUUUAAAUAAAUUAUCAAACUCAACAUCAGCUUUUUGGUGGAUUUGUUUUAUAGUUGAUUGUGUCAUAUCAGCAAAUUCUAGAGCAGGUUCUAAAUUUAGUUUUCAGUUUGAAGAAAUUUGCUCAAAGGAGCAGUAUUGCAAAUGCUUUUACUAAUAUGAAUAAGGCUAACCAAAACAAACAGCUAAUGGCCAUAGUUGCCGGGCUUCACGAACAAUAAAAAAAAAAAAAAUUAAAACUUUAUAUUUUUAUAAUUAUUAUUUUCCAGAUGAUUUGGUCGGUAAGAAACAUUUUUUGUGUUUUUUAUUUCAUUGAUAUUUAUAAUUUAUUGUUGUUUGAAAGUUUCUUGAUGGAUUUAUAUAGGCAAUAUUUUUCUUCUGACAUAAUUGUUUGUUAAUCAAUUGGUAAUCAUAAGAAACUACUUUAAAUCUGUAAUACUGUAUAAAGUCUAAAAAUUAUAGACGAGGGUGUUUUUUCCCAUAUACAUAGUUAUUAGGACAGCUACUCUGUGUGUAGCUAUAAUUUCUUGGGUUAAUUAGAAAAAAAUAUGCAAAUGCAUCAAGGUUGGGUUAAUAAAUCAUUAAUAAAUCAUUAGGUAAUUAUAAAUAAACUAUCCAAUUACUAUACAAAUUAUGAUCAAAUUUAGAUUGGUUUUUUAUUUCUACCAAAAUCUACUCAUUUUCUAAGUACCUGCCAAACAUUCUGUAAAUGUAUUGAGAACUUUUCAAACAAAUUAAAAAUGUUCCUCUUUAAUCAUAACAACAUAUUACAAAUGUUCUAUAAUUUAUAAAUGGAAUUUAAUUCUAGCUAAAAUAGGUAAAUUCUUUUUUAUUUUUAAUAAUUAGUUUUUUUAUACUAUACUUAUAUUAGAUGAAUCUUACAUGUUUAUAAUUUAUAUAGCUUAAGACUACAAUAUUUAUAUUAUCCAUUAAUGCAUGUUCUUAUAGUAGAACAAUACCUAUUAUAAACAUUUUAUAAUAUUAAUGACUACAUUUUUUUUUUAUUUCAGUAUCAAAAGGUACGUAAUCACAUUUAUUUUGUAAAAAAUAAUUGUUUUAUAGUCUUUAUUCUUAUAAAGUUUUCUAUUAAGGAAUGUAUGGAUUUCCCGACGACAUUUUUUCUAUUUAUUAACUGUUAAUUAAUCUAUAAAUUUUCAAUAUAUUUAACUCGUAAUCAUGUGAUAUUUAAAUACCGCAAAUCGCCAAAAUAUUUUAACAAACCUCAAAUAAUCGUUUACACGUUCAAAUAUUUGUACGAAUUAAAUUUUUGCAAGCCAGUUUGAACAAGUAAAAAUAAUCUGAUAUAACCCCACAAAUUUAGAUAACGACAACUUUGUUAAUGACGGUCCGUUAUUAUAUAAUAUCAUUGUAUAAGAAAAACGAUUCUGAGCGAAAACGGUCAGUCAGCCUAUGAUUUUACCAAGUAUAUUUGAUGAUAUUAUUGUGAAUAAUGUAAUUUAUAUAUAACCUAUUUACGUGGAUCCUUGUUUUCAAUUUUUAAUCCUUAGCUAUAAAACUUGAACAAUUAUAAAUUUUUAACUACAAAAUAAUUAUUACAUUUUAAAUUUGAUAAAUUUUGUCAAAAUUUGAACUUUAAAUGCUUUUAAAAAAAAAUUGUGCCUAUAUAUUUUCAAUAUUUUUCAACUGCUAUUGUAACAAUAUAUCAGGAGCCUUAUAUUAAAUUUUCACGCUUUUUUACCCAACAAAUAAAAUUGUAUUGAUAUUUAUAGAAAAAAAAACUAAAAAAAUUGAAAACUGACAAUGUCCGUAAACAACUCAAAAAGAGUCAAAAUAUUUUCAAAAUUUUAUGGUGUAUAGAAAAUGCUAAUAUAAACAUUCAGUGAAAUUUUUAAGUAUCUACAGUCAUUCGUUUUUCAAUUACAAUAAAAUAAGAAAAUUGUUACAUGAGAAAUCGAGUGAAUAUCAAAUGUUGUAAAAAUAUAAAUUUCAGAUGCUCAUAAAAAUUUAAUUUAAGUUUCUUGUAGAUAUUUUUUUUUUGAUAAAGGUAGACAAACUUAUGAGUAAUCUUAUAUUACAUUCUCAAAUCUUAGAUUUAAAAAGAAAAAUUUUUAUGAAUUCUCAACUCAAAAUAAUUUGUUAAUUUUCGUGAUUUUUCCGUAUUUUGUCAAAAUUUGAACUUUAAAUGCUUAUAAAUAAAAACUGUGACUAAGGAUUUUAAUUUUUUUCAUCUGCCUUUGAAAUAAUAACCUAGGAGGCCUUCUAUUAAAUUUUCAAGCUUUUUUACUCAACAGAUAAAAUUUUAUUGAUAUUUAUAGAAAAAAAAACUAAAAAUAUUGAAAACUGACAAAGUCCGUAAACAGCUCAAAAUAAGUCAAAAUAUUUGGAAAAUGUUAUGGUGUAUAGGAAAUGCAAUUAUAAACAUUCAGUCAAAAUUUCAUGUCCCUACGGUCAUUUGUUUUAAAGUUACACUAAAAGCCAAAAUCGAUUUUCUCGAAAACAGAUUUUGCGUAAAAAUUCCCGUUUUUCCUUAAUUUUUCUUUUGUUUUUCCCGUCGCUUUUGAAAACUACUGGGAAAUUUUUUUCUUUCGACCCCCCAAAGUACCAACUAGAUUCGCUUUCCUAUCAAAAAAGUUACUGUUGAAGAAAAUCCAAGCACUUUUACUGUCCUAAAAGGUGAUGACAGACACAAAAAAAAAAAAAUAAAAAAAAAACACACAUCAUUGUAAAAUCAAUACAUUCAUCGCUUCGCUCAGAAUCCAAAAUACAUCAACAUUCACGCAAACGCUUGACUCCCAUCGGUAGGUCACUGUCAAAUGAAUUGUGAUGAUAUUUUGUAGAAAGACAAUGAUUUGGGCAUCCAUAUGAUUCUUAUAUUCUGAAUCAUAAGGUAUAAUAUUAUGUUUAUAAUUUUAUUUUUAGAUGACAGAGGUACGUGCAUAUUGAAUUAACUGUAUUUUUUAAUUUGCUUAAUUUUUUGUGAUUUGUGCCUCAAAACUUAUUUAAUGAUAGUCAAUGGUCAUCAUUUUUUACUUACUCACUGAGUAUCAUUAUAGCUAUGAAUCCAUUUAGUUGUCAAACCGUCAUCCAUUUAUUGGGUGUUACUAUUACUAUGAUUGUAAAGACUAAAGAUAGACCUAUACAUUAGGUAUUGUAUAAAACGUUGACUCAAACUAUAUAAAAAUCAUUCAACUUACAUAUAAACGUGGUAUCCGGUAGGUCCAUAAUAUCACAUUUAUAACAAAUCAUAAUUAUAAUUAUUUCAUUUUUUUUUUUAGAAAAAGUGUCGAAGAACGUUGUAAACCUCUACAAAGAAUUCCAAAUGGAAGAGGAAUUUAAAACAACUGCUAAGUUCUGUAGGAACAAAGUUACAAACAAUGUCAUAACGUUUAUUACGAAAAUGUUUACAAUUAAUGUACCGACAAAAGGUUAAUCAUUUUUCAUGAUAAUUUUAUGAUUUUAUUUAUAUAUAUAUAUUAUACUACUAUAAUAAUUCAUACUAAAAUAAAUGCGAUGUUUACGGCAAAAAAUAAUUCAACAUAACAUUAUAACACAUAUAUUACUAAUAGUAGUACUUACCUAUUAUAAAUUAAUAAUAUACCAUUACAUAAUAUUAUA